GCAGAUUUCUCUCCCAGACCAUAAACUAUCGCAUCAUUUCUUCAAAACUGAUUUUGGAUCAGUCUAAAUGGAUAAGCGCUGCCAAUACCUGCCUUUAUGAGAGCAGAAAAGCAUUAGAUGCAACCAGGAAGAAGGGCGUCAUCAUUUCGCCUUCUCAAUGUGACGGCGGCUGAAAUCGAAUACACUUCACUACUGAUAUUUGCAAUAGGUUUAGCACCGAGGUUUAAAGAUAUGAGAAGAAAAACAGACUGUGGCCCGGCAGACUAUAGAGGGCAGUGCGUUUGGCAUUCAGAUGCUCUCGGAUCGGUCUCUGGUGUUGACAGACUUUUGAGGGACGGCGGUUUAAUUACAGCGUGAAGAGGCGCGCUCACACGCGAGUGCCAGACCUCCAGGACGCUCGGGCUGCCAGGGUUCCGAACUUGACCACUGCAGCCAUCCAUUCCAGAGAGAAGCUCCCUCCGCUGAGGGAUAUCCGCUCUGAUUGCCCUUGCUGCAGUGUGCCAGAGCCGGGGCUUUUUUGUAAACAGCCCUCAAACAUUUUAUGCGACGGGAUUCAGAGGGAUGAGACGAGCACCCGUGAGCUUUUUAAAUGAGCACUUUCACUACUGAUAGCCUUUUAACUUGCUGUAGGUUCAGUGCCAAUCGAGUUUUCAACGGAAACACAGAAAACAAGACGGGAAAUGAUUGUCAAGGAUACGUAACUCAGUUACAUAGCUGGUCAUGUGAUCAAUCUCCAACCAAUCGAUGUUUGAGGUCUGUCAGCUCUUUAAAAAAAUUAAUUGUGUAAUUUAGCAAUAAAUUGAUCUAUUAGUCUAUUGCAGAGAAAUCAGUUCUUCGGCUCUUUUCUUUCAUCAAAAAACCCUGAAAGAAAGUCAGUUAUAUUAUUAUUCAUAUAAUAAUGAAUCAGCAUAUUGCAGUGAUUUCUGAAGGAUCUGAAGGAACGCUGAAGUAUGGAGUAAUGUUGCUGGAAAUGACGGAAUAAAUUACAGUUAUUUUAUAUUGCAACGAUAUUACUGUAUUUUUGAUCGGAUAAAUGCGGCACUGGUGCGCGUAAGAGAUAAAAACAUUAAUAAAAUGUCUAAGCAAUGCCCUCUAGAAAACUCGUAGAGAAAAGGCGGCUUUUUAUUUACGAAGAAACAAAAGAGGAAUCGGAGGAGUAACAGUUUAAAGGACCACUCAGUAAUUAAUUCCUCAUUAAAAGGUUAUUAACAGCACUUUAACAGCAAAAUAUGUUUAACAUCAUACACACUUGCACAACGCAAACUUACAAAAGCUGAUUUGUGUCCUUUCACGAGGGCGGACCACAUGAUGAGAUGGGUUAAACAGAACAGCCACCUCGAUUGUAGUGUGGUCCACUUCCGCAAAAACCAUCCACGGUAUAAGUCUGGACUCUGACACAUCAUUAAUUUUGUUUACGAGAAGACCAGCACUUCCUCCGAGCGCGCAGCCUGUGCGAAAACAGAUAAAUUGGCUUUUACAUGUAACAAUGAAGAUCACGGAGGUGAGCUCAUAGUCUUCUCUGACGGAGGCGGUCAUAGCGCUGCUGUAUUAGGACAUCACUGCAUUUGAAGAACGGAGAGCGAACACUUAUGCGCCGUUUGAUGUCUUUUUCCUUCCCUCUGGGCCAUGUUCAAGGAUUCGGAGAAGUGGAAAAAUGUCCGCCGCACUCAAACAUCUGGGUAACGGUGAAAUGCCUCACGUUUAAUUAAAUACCCCAGGUCAUGUGUAAGAGGAAUUUUUAAUUAAACUUAAUUAUUUAUCCCGGAAUUAGCAUGACUUUCAGAGGACUGUUGAAGUGUCCAAUUUGAAAGUUUCUUUUUAUUUUCCUGUAAGAUUUAAAAGAUUCUGACAGACAAACGAAACCUGAAAAUGUUAAGAUAAAAUAAUAUUACUUUUAUUGAUGAAUAAAACAUAUAGUGUAUGUUUAUUAAUGAAAUAUGUAAGUUAAACCAUUAUAGAAAUAUGUGAUUAAUACAUCUUGCUGUUGUAGUUUUUAUUAACAAUACACAUUUUGACUUAAAUACACAAUUAAUAUUAAUGUAUA